CCGCCAUCACCUUCAACGACCGCCCUUUUCCCGCCGUCGCCGCCUCCCCCCUAUCGUCAUACCACCGGGCGCCGCCCUCCUGGCCAGCGGAUCCGGCCUCCGCCGUAGUCCCGUAUGCCGCCGCCUACCCUCGCCGUCGCCGUACGCCAUACGCCAUCCCCCCACCGCCGUUGUGUGCCAUUUGGCGUCGGUCCCCCCUUCCCCCUUCUUCGUCCUCCCCUCAGCAGCGUCGGAACUGGCGCCGGUAUCCCCCUCCCCUCGCAGUGGGGUGGCGUGGCCUACUCUUGAAGGAGGCUGGCGAGGGCCUUUUCGCCAGAUCCGGCGGCCUCACCACUUGCUAGCACCAGAUCAGGCGGUGGCGGCCGUCAAAAAGAGAGGGGACGCACUCCCCUACGCGCAGCCAGUGGAGUUGGUCAGCGACAACGGCGCCGUCCUAGUUGGCGUUGCCAGCCGGUGAGUUAAUCUGCUCCAUCUCUCUCCCUUGCUGCUACUGCUGCAGCUUGGAAGAAGCGCGCGGGGCAUUUCUUGCGUGCCGAUCACCUACGACGUGAGGCUCCGGACGACUCUGGGGAAGGUGUCCAUCAUGAACGAUGGCUCCAUCGCCGGCGGCUUCGAGAUCGGUCAGGGGCUAUGGACAAAGGUGAAGCAGAUGACCGCGUUCGCGCUGGGCCAGUUGUGCGAUGAUCUCGACAAGGUCCAUGUCAUCCUCAUCCAGGCUGACACACUGAGCAUGAUCCAUCAAGGAGAAGGCUGGUACCCUACCAUGGAAAUCCUUGAUUGCCCAGGCAAGCAUGGCGAGUGUGAAGCUGACGGAGCAUACGUACUGGACCCCUGACCCGACGUUCCCUAGCUACUUGAACUAUGGACCUGCGGUUAGUGAGGUGGAAGUGGAUAUGCUGACAGGAGCAACCACCAUCCUAAGGAGCGACCUCAUCUUAAAGACCUAAAGCAGGCUCAUCUUAAAGACCUAAUGCAGAGUCCAAGAUCUUGCAUCUUAUUGGGCGACGUGGCGCCAUAGAAAUCAGCAAAAGUCCCCUCCCAAUAUCUGCCAUGUGUCCACUCCGAGGAGAUGCUCCAAUGUACUAUAUCUAUGAAUGCUCUAGGAAGAAAAAUAAAUAAAUAAAUUAGUUGGUCCAUGAAUU